UUCAAAAUUAUGAAAUUUAUAAAUGUUUUAUUUUUAAAAUUUUUUACUCUACUAAACAAUAGAUGAAAAUAAAAAGUAAUUUUUUUUCAUUUCUUAAUUUUUUCUACUUCCAUCAUUUUAGUUUUUUGCCUUUCAAUUUUUUUUUUUUUUUGUUUUUUUCAAAACUAAACACACACCCCUACUAAAUACUAGGAGUAAGUGUGCAUUUUGGGUUUUGGUGACAAGGGAUUACAGAAGUUCAGUGAGACUUGUUGGAGAUCUUCAUUAGGCUUUUUAUGUAAGGCCCAUUAUUACACAGAACCUAAUUAUUCACACAUCAUAAUUACAUACAAAGGUAGUAGAAAAACUAGGAAACCCUACGAAAACUCUCCGCCUUCUGCCUUUUUCUCCUUCACCGACCCGUUUUAUAUAUGGAAGCAGAAAGAAACAAGAGCUCAGGGAGAAAGAGGUGGUAGGACAAAAAUGAGUCCAGGUUUCUGUUAUUUUGGUGAUUACCUUUCAAAUCACCCUCAAGUUCAACCAAGUAGACAUUGCUUCUGUUAUUUCUUAUUCCUGGUGGCUAGUUAGCCAUUCACAUCCAAAAGCUAUAUCUUAUGUGUGAAUGGUAGUAGGCUCACCUAAAUCAGGUCUUGGCGGCCUUCUUGGGGAACUGGAUUCUCUUCCAGAGUUUCACUUACAGGCUGUCAACAACAUUCCUCCUUAUUCUCAUUUUGUCUUAUUAUCAAUGCUAUAAAUUUUAGUAAUAGUACUGAUGAAUAAAAUUUUGAUUUUUUGUUCCUGGAUUUCUGGAUUUGAGGUUGUAUUUUCAAUUUAUAAACAAGGGAAAGAAACAGAAUGGUCGGCAUCUAGGGGUUUUUAAAAACCGUUCUUAUCGGUCCUACUUGCAGGCCAAGCUUGAUGGAAGAAGAUAAUAAUAAUUUUAUGCUCAUUCAUUUGUUGGGUCGGACUUGGUUUUUAGUCCUUUAAAGCAAGAGUGGUCAUUGGUGUAGUUGAUGAUCUGUUGGUAGGCAUGCCUUGUUCCCUCGCCUAUCGGAUCUUGAUGCGUCACAAGAUGCAAUCGAUCAUGCAAGUUAUGAAUUCAAGGUAGAGGGGUUGCCUGAUUCACCAGUCUUUCCUUCAUUCCAAUCUUGGGGCGGACUCCCAUGAUUCCUUUCCCAGUGUCUAUAUUCCCCCCUCAUCCGAGGCUCAGACUUAACCUCCAUAAUUAAUCUCAAUAUGGGGCUCCUACAUCCUUCCUGUCAGAAGUAGAUGAUCUCUUAGCUCAGAAGACAUUUAUACAAGGCGACUGCGACUCCCUAUAGCAGAUAGCUUUCAAGACCUACAGAAGAUAGUGUUCAUAAGGAUUAGACAAAUUAAAGCAAAUGAGCCGAUGCCUAGGACUACUAUGGUGUACUUAUCUUCAUUCUACAUCCAAAUUGCUUAACAUAUAUGUACAUAGUUGAAGUUACUUCCUUGCAACAAGUCUUCAUUAUGAUUCUGGUUCAUCUGUUAUAUUUUUUAUGUUUCUCCAAAAAGGAAAUGAAGUAAAUUGCUGCUACACUUUUAAUUUCA